rnacentral:rRNA from 1 species
UACGAAGGGGGCUAGCGUUGCUCGGAAUCACUGGGCGUAAAGCGCACGUAGGCGGCUUUCUAAGUCAGGGGUGAAAUCCUGGAGCUCAACUCCAGAACUGCCUUUGAUACUGGAGAGCUUGAGUCCGGAAGAGGUGAGUGGAACUCCGAGUGUAGAGGUGAAAUUCGCAGAUAUUCGGAAGAACACCAGUGGCGAAGGCGGCUCACUGGUCCGGUACUGACGCUGAUGUGCGAAAGCGUGGGGAGCAAACAGG